GACGAACGCUGGCGGCGUGCCUAAUACAUGCAAGUCGAACGAACUCUGGUAUUGAUUGGUGCUUGCAUCAUGAUUUACAUUUGAGUGAGUGGCGAACUGGUGAGUAACACGUGGGAAACCUGCCCAGAAGCGGGGGAUAACACCUGGAAACAGAUGCUAAUACCGCAUAACAACUUGGACCGCAUGGUCCGAGCUUGAAAGAUGGCUUCAGCUAUCACUUUUGGAUGGUCCCGCGGCGUAUUAGCUAGAUGGUGGGGUAACGGCUCACCAUGGCAAUGAUACGUAGCCGACCUGAGAGGGUAAUCGGCCACAUUGGGACUGAGACACGGCCCAAACUCCUACGGGAGGCAGCAGUAGGGAAUCUUCCACAAUGGACGAAAGUCUGAUGGAGCAACGCCGCGUGAGUGAAGAAGGGUUUCGGCUCGUAAAACUCUGUUGUUAAAGAAGAACAUAUCUGAGAGUAACUGUUCAGGUAUUGACGGUAUUUAACCAGAAAGCCACGGCUAACUACGUGCCAGCAGCCGCGGUAAUACGUAGGUGGCAAGCGUUGUCCGGAUUUAUUGGGCGUAAAGCGAGCGCAGGCGGUUUUUUAAGUCUGAUGUGAAAGCCUUCGGCUCAACCGAAGAAGUGCAUCGGAAACUGGGAAACUUGAGUGCAGAAGAGGACAGUGGAACUCCAUGUGUAGCGGUGAAAUGCGUAGAUAUAUGGAAGAGCACCAGUGGCGAAGGCGGCUGUCUGGUCUGUAACUGACGCUGAGGCUCGAAAGUAUGGGUAGCAAACAGGAUUAGAUACCCUGGUAGUCCAUACCGUAAACGAUGAAUGCUAAGUGUUGGAGGGUUUCCGCCCUUCAGUGCUGCAGCUAACGCAUUAAGCAUUCCGCCUGGGGAGUACGGCCGCAAGGCUGAAACUCAAAGGAAUUGACGGGGGCCCGCACAAGCGGUGGAGCAUGUGGUUUAAUUCGAAGCUACGCGAAGAACCUUACCAGGUCUUGACAUACUAUGCAAAUCUAAGAGAUUAGACGUUCCCUUCGGGGACAUGGAUACAGGUGGUGCAUGGUUGUCGUCAGCUCGUGUCGUGAGAUGUUGGGUUAAGUCCCGCAACGAGCGCAACCCUUAUUAUCAGUUGCCAGCAUUAAGUUGGGCACUCUGGUGAGACUGCCGGUGACAAACCGGAGGAAGGUGGGGAUGACGUCAAAUCAUCAUGCCCCUUAUGACCUGGGCUACACACGUGCUACAAUGGAUGGUACAACGAGUUGCGAACUCGCGAGAGUAAGCUAAUCUCUUAAAGCCAUUCUCAGUUCGGAUUGUAGGCUGCAACUCGCCUACAUGAAGUCGGAAUCGCUAGUAAUCGCGGAUCAGCAUGCCGCGGUGAAUACGUUCCCGGGCCUUGUACACACCGCCCGUCACACCAUGAGAGUUUGUAACACCCAAAGUCGGUGGGGUAACCUUUUAGGAACCAGCCGCCUAAGGUGGGACAGAUGAUUAGGGUG
rnacentral:rRNA from 1 species